AGAUACAACAGGAAAUACAGUGAAUGAGCAUUAGGACAUUUCCAGAUAUUCUGUGACUCUGCGGCCAAGCCCAUAAAAUGUUAAUUUAGUGAAUGGUUUUAAUUAGUUGACAGAAAAGACUCUCCUGUACCAGACAUGGAGAGGUAAAGUUUCACCUCUGUUUUACAGUGUGCAGCUGAAUGGGAGCCAGUCUCACAGAGAUCUGAUGAGGAUGAUCCAAGAAAUGAAGAGGUGUUUGCCCGAAGAGAAAAAGAGUUCCAGCAAGCCCAGCACCAUCAGUGCUCUCAACUAUGCCUUGCAGUGUGUCCAGCAGGUCCAAGCAAACAAUGACUUUUUCCAGGCUCUGAAUGACCGAAGAGUGUUUCAGCCAGAUGUGAUGACAUACAGCAUAGAGGAGUUGGUGGCAGUUGCAUCUGAACACACUCCAAAAAACACUGACACAUUUGUGGCUGUGUUUUCCCUGCUUUCGGGACACAUAGUGCAUAUUUCUGAGCAGGCAGCAUCCAUUCUAAACUGUAAGAAGAAAGUGUUGGACUCCUCCCGGUUUGUAGAGCUGCUUGUCCCUCAGGAUGUGAGUGUGUUCUACACCCACACAGAUCAGUCCCACCUGCCGCUCUGGAACGUGGAACGUCAAACAGCUUCUCUGUAUGAAUAUGCCCAGGUGAAAUCCUUUUUCUGCAGGAUCAGGGGUGGUAAAGAUCAAGAACAAGAACCACGUUGUUACCCCUUCCGAAUCACCCCGUACUUGGUCCAUGUGUGUACUUCUGUCCAUGUGGAUGCAGAAUGCUGCUGCUUAGCUUUGGCUGAGAAAAUUCACUCUGGAUACGAAGCUCCUCGAAUUCCUACGGAUAAAAGAAUCUUCACCACCACUCACACCCCUGGAUGUGUUUUUCUUGACAUAGAUGACAGAGCAGUGCCUUUGCUGGGUUACUUACCUCAAGAUUUAGUCGGAACAUCCAUACUGAUGUAUUUGCACCCAGAAGAUCGUCCUCUGAUGAUUGCUGUUCACCGGAAAAUCUUGAAAUUUGCUGGACAACCCCCUUUUGAACACUUACCUAUUAGAUUUUGUACUCAAAAUGGGGAUUAUGUCAUACUGGAUACCAGCUGGUCCAGUUUUGUGAAUCCUUGGAGCAGGAAAGUCGUGUUCAUCAUUGGCCGACACAAAGUCCGGACAAGCCCACUGAAUGAAGAUGUCUUUGCUACAAGAAGUAAAGAAACAAACAGUGUUGAGAAAGAGAUAAGAGAAUUGCAAGGACAAAUUUACAAGCUGCUUCUGCAGCCAGUUCACAGCAAUGUUUCCAGUGGUUAUGGAAGCCUUGGAAGCAAUGGCUCUUACGAGCACUAUAUCAGCAUAGCAUCUUCAAGUGACUCCAAUGGGAAUUGUGCAGAGGAUGUACAGGAACCAAUGACAUUGCAACAAGUUUGUGCAGAUGUCAACCGAAUAAAGAAUCUGGGACAGCAGCUGUAUAUUGCAUCAAGGAGCAAGCCACAGAAUGGGCAUGAACAAGCUGUGGGCUCAGAAAUGCUGGGAGGGAAGAGGCCCACUGCUUCCUGUUUUCUUCAGACGUUGAGAAGCGACAGCACGGAAGAACCAAGCAAUGUGUUUUAUGAUGAUUCAAAGAAGACUCCACGUGUUCCUUCCUAUCAGCAGAUCAAUUGUGUUGAUAGUAUCAUCAGAUACUUAGAGAGCUGCAGUAUUCCAGCAUUGAAAAGGAAAUGUAAGUCUUCUGCAAAUACAUCUUCAUCAUCUUCAGAAGAUGACAAGCAAGUCCAACAAAAUCAGCAGGAAGUGGAGGCGUUGGAAGAUACUGCUGUGGUUUCAGCAGCUGAUUCCCAGGCUCUGGUUCCUGCUGAUCGGGAAGAGACGCUGCCCGGCCGGACCACCGCAGGCCUGGUGGGAGCUCCCCUGGCAGAGCUGGCCCUGUCCAGCAAGUCUCCGAGCGUGGUGUCUGUCACCAGCCAGUGCAGCUACAGCAGUACUAUAGUGCACGUCCCACGCCCCGAAUCAGAAGUGACUACAAUGGAGGAUACUACUGCUGGAAGUGAACAAAUUGAGCUGCCUCCUGUGAAUGCUCAGUGUCUCACUGUGGUGCCUGAGGACUUAAAGCCAGUUGGGCUGACAAAAGAGACGUUGUCAGCCCACACUCAAAAGGAGGAGCAGAACUACGUUGACAAGUUCCGCCAAAGGAUCUUGCUCUCUCCAUUUAGGACUUACCUUCAGCAGGGGAGCAGAAGUAACAUCGGACAUUCCUGUGGCCAAGGAGAUUCCCCUUCAAAGCAGAUGGGCCCAGCUAGCCGUAAAAAAGGCAAACGUGGAAAAUUCAAGCGUCAGAAGCCUCAGAGACAGUCCUCAGAUAGCCACUCUUACAGUAAAAAUAGAAAUAGUCUUCCAUGCGAGAAGAGAAAAAUGCAGAAACAGUCAUUCUCUCCCUCAGAAGUGUCCUAUCUGAGCUCCUCCAGUGUGAAUGUCCUUCCCCCCAUGGGAUUUCCUGUCCAUUCAGAUCCACUAUCAAGUUUUCCAGCCUCUUCUGCAGGAGAGGAGUUUGCCCUUCACUCGUUAAAACCUGAGUCCAUGUCAUCGUCCCAGCUAUGCUGUGAAGCACAGUCAUGCCCAGCACUUUAUCCCCCAAACAUAGGCACAUUUAUGGCUGUAUUUUUUCAGAGUUUCCCCAUGUAUGCUCAGAUGCCUCAGUAUGUCUUUCUUCCUAGCCCCCAGUAUGUUUAUCCCCCCUCUUCGUACUCAUGCACGACACUACCUCCGGCCCCUGCCCCUGCUCCAUCUCCGGUAGCACCACGCGCUGUGGGCCAGCCCUUUCCAGCCACUGCGGCCACAUCUGUGGACCAGCGAGAGGGCCAGCGUGGCCCGGCCCUGCUGCCCAGCAGCUCACGGAGCAGCUCCCCACUUCAGCUGAAUUUGCUUCAGGAAGAGCUGCCAAAACCGAUGGAGCUUUCCGUUAGUGCUGAUGUUAAAGCACAUGCAGAAGCUGAAGGUGACAACGAUCCAGAAGACAGUGGUAACAGUGCUAACCAUUGUGCUUCUGGUGAAUUUGCCGACCACUCACUGUAUGAGGGCUCCCAGUCAGGUUCAGGCUCAGCGGCACCAGGCACCGGAUCAGCCUCAUCUGGGUCUUUAGGCUCUGGCUCCAGUGACACUUCUGGUUGCGGCACAGCAGCUAGUGGGAAAAGCAGCAAGAAUUUUGCCAGUAAUGAUUCUUCUGAAGCUUCCAAAGAAGAGAAGAAUCAGGAAGCAGAAGAAAAAGGGACAGCUCAUAAAUCCAAACAUGAGUCAGCCUGGGUGAUGAUGGAUCACACAUCCGAGCAAGUUCUAAUGACUUACCAGAUGCCAAACAGAAUUAAAGAGGAGGUUUUAAAGGAGGAUCUGGAGAAGCUGGCAGUCAUGCGGAAGCAGCAGCCUUGGUUCACGGACGGGCAGAAGAAGGAGCUGGCAGAGGUGCACUCGUGGAUCCGGACUCGGACUGUCCCGCUGCAGAUUGGCACCCAGGGCUGUGUUACAUGUGACGUCAGGCAAGCAAGUUGUGAGGCUGCAAAGGCUGAUGACGGUAUGGAAACAAAGGGAAAAUCGCCUCUGCUCCUACAACGCUGAAGACAUCAGCACUUGCAUCAGUAAAACUGCUUGGUGCGAUUCCCAUUCUCUUUUUCUCUGCAUUUGCUACAUACUAGUGGUGAAUCUGUCUGUCUCUUCCCAACAUGAGCAGUUGCACAUGUGAGAUUAAACCCUCCUCCAUUAGCCCUCCACUCCUGGCAGGACUUUGAAGAUUUUUGCUUUGAAUUUUUUGCUGGGAGGCUCUUUCCCUUCCUGACCUCACAGACUUGACGCAGAGUGGGUUAUGUUUCUAACUUUUGAUUGCUCAGUGAUGAGCAAAAUACAGAGGGUUUUUUGAUUUGGGUUUUGUUUGUUGGUUUGAACUUGGAGAGUCUGAAAAGAUACCAUGGUUAAGAACCUGCAGUGAUGGACCAAACAGAUCUGAGCGUGUUUACUCUCCAAGUCUGGAAACAUGUCAGAAAGGUGACUGUCGUUAUCCCUGUUGUAUAAAAAGAGGCAGAGACACAAAGGACUUGCACAGAUGCAGACCCCCAGUUCAUAGCAGACCCAGGAGUGUAAGUUGGGGACCUUCACUCACUAUAUCCUGUGCUGUCUUUGCUGAAAGUGGUCAAGAUUCUGAUGUAGAAACUUAAUGUGUUUCUUGUUUGGAGAUGUUAACCCUUCUUGUACCACCUCCUGCUAUGAAUUUGUGCCCAGCAGGUUCAUUAGGCAACAGAAAUCCUCGACAGCUUUUGUAUGCUGUGAACACCCUACCCUCUGACCAUAUAUAAUGAAGGGACAUGUGCCUAGGAGUUUGUAUUCAAAGUUUGUAAUCCUGGCUAAAUCUUAGGUGCAAGAGUCCUUGUCUGGGGCUACACUAGUCCUAGGUUAUGGAAGAAAAUUAUGGUAUGGGGGAAUGAAGAGGUGAAUCGGUGCUCUGUGUGACAGUGAAGCUAAAUUAUUUGCCCAAAACCGCAAACAGCCUUGGCUGUAAGACCAGGUUUAGGACAAAACCCAGUUUUUUACCCCCCUAGAACCACAACAUCUUGCAAUCCAAUGCCUUAUCAAGCCUUUUGGGAAGGACCUAGAUUCUGUAAGUUUUUACUUCAGCAUACGUUAAUUUUCAGUCUUUGUAGUUUGCUGGAGUAGUUGAAGUGAGACCCAGUUAUGGUCUGAAAGACCAAUGGAGUAAAUAUUGCAGCCGGAUUUGCAUGUGCUGUUUUGUUUAUGUGACUUUGUUUUGCCUGGCAUAAUGAAAAUGUGGCAGACGGUUCAGAGCUGCUUGGAAGGUCACUUUUCUGGAGAUCAAAGGGAAAACAAGCAAGUACAAUAGUGAUGCAGUUACUACCCCCUGUGGGGGUGUCAGCAGUUUGGAAACCCUUGGUGGAUUUCACUGGCAAUUUUUUUUGUUGUAUUCAUAAAUACAGAAUUAUGUUUUUAAAAGAUGAGUUAACAUGCAGAUAUUUUCAUGGCAUUGCUAUGAACAGGAGGGACCCUUGUGUAUUUUUACAGUGUGCGAUAAAUAUUCACUGGAUGAGUAAUGUAUUGGUAAGUUUAUCUUCCAGCUGAAUCGACUUUUAAAUCACAACCGAAUUAAUUUUUACAUCAGUUGAUAGAGAUAUUAUAUUGAAAUGAUGUUCAGCUGUGGUUGAAUUUACAAUUGUGAUUUUAACUGUAUACUUUAAAGGAGCUUCUGUUUUUAUAAAUGAAAAAUAUGCUGCAAAGAACUGUUUCAAGUGUUUGUUU